rnacentral:rRNA from 1 species
UACGGAGGGUGCAAGCGUUAUCCGGAUUUACUGGGUUUAAAGCGUGUGUAGGCGGGCCCGUCAGUGUCUUGUGAAAUCCCACGGCUCAACCGUGGAACCGCUGGGCAUACUGCGGGUCUUGGGCCAACUAGGGGCAGCCGGAACAAGCGGUGGAGCGGUGAAAUGCGUAGAUAUCGCUUGGAACGCCGAAGGUGAAAACAGGCUGCUGGGGUUGCGCCGACGCUGAGACACGAAAGCCAGGGGAGCGAACGGG